UUGCUGCUGGUCUUUUCGAAGGCAUGUGCACACUAUGUCAUCUUUAUCUCUCCACCUGUGCACCUUUUGUAGACCUAGAUUCAACUUUCCGAGGCAACUCGGGUUGUGAGGAUUUUGCUUAGCAAAUUCCUUGUAUGUCUCUAGGCCUAUGUUUUUCAUAUACACCAUAAGAAUGUAACAGAAUGUAAAUUGGGCUUUAUUGUCCUAUAAACUAUAUACAACUUUCAGCAACGGAUCUCUUGGCUCUCGCAUCGAUGAAGAACGCAGCGAAAUGCGAUAAGUAAUGUGAAUUGCAGAAUUCAGUGAAUCAUCGAAUCUUUGAACGCACCUUGCGCUCCUUGGUAUUCCGAGGAGCAUGCCUGUUUGAGUGUCAUUAAAUUCUCAACCUUUAUCUUUUUAUUGAUAAAUGGCUUGGACUUGGGGGUUUGCUGGCGAAAGUCAACUCCUCUGAAAUGUAUUAGCUGGUUGCCUUGUGUGAACUUGUCUAUUGGUGUGAUAAUUAUCUACGCCGUGGGCUGUUUGCCGUUUUAGCACUGCUUCUAACUGUCUGUUAACUCGGACAAUAUAUGACAAUUUGACCUCAAAUCAGGUAGGACUACCCGCUGAACUUAAGCAUAUCAAUAAGCGGGAGGA
rnacentral:rRNA from 1 species